rnacentral:RNase_P_RNA from 1 species
CGAGUCGGCAGGGCGGUCGCGGCGGGUGAGAACUCGUCGAGGAAAGUCCGGACUCCGAAGGGCAGGGUGGUUGCUAACGGCAACCCGGGGCGACCCGCGGGACAGUGCCACAGAAAGCAAACCGCCUGACAGCUCCGUUGGUGCCUCCGGCACCGGCGGGCGCGGCCAGGUAAGGGUGAAACGGUGGUGUAAGAGACCACCAGCACCCCGGGUGACCGGGGUGGCUAGGUAAACCCCACCCGGAGCAAGGUCAAGAGGGAGUCCUCCGGGACUCCUGCGCAGGCGAUCGAGGGCUGCCCGCCCGAGCCUGCGGGUAGGCCGCUAGAGCCUGCCGGCGACGGCAGGCCCAGAUGGAUGACCGCCCCCCGGCCGCGAGGCCGGGGACAGGAUCCGGCUUACAUGCCGGCUCGUCCG